AUUUAUAUAGUUUAAUAAAAACUUUACUUUUUCAUUGUAAAAAUAAAAAAAUUUUUUUUUAUAAAUA
rnacentral:tRNA from 1 species